rnacentral:rRNA from 1 species
UGCGCAGGCGGCUUACUAAGUCAGUGGUGAAAUCUUGCGGCUUAACCGUAAAACUGCCAUUGAUACUGGUAGGCUUGAAUUCAGUUGAGGUUGGCGGAAUGUGUAAUGUAGCGGUGAAAUGCUUAGAUAUUACACAGAACACCGAUUGCGAAGGCAGCUAGCUAAACUGAUAUUGACGCUGAGGCACGAAAGCGUGGGGAGCGAACCGGAUUAGAUACCCCGAGUAGUCC